UACCGAUUUUCCAGGCAUCCAUUUACGUUUCAUGUUUCAGUUGAUUUCAGCUGAUUUCUCUCCGUGCCUUCAAUUUAGCAAGAGCUUAAAGUGCAUGGUGAAAGCGCUUAUGAUUGGGCACAAACACACACAGACCCAGAAAGUGACACAAGAGAACCAACUACAGUAAAUAAUACAAAUAAACAGCGAUAAAAAUGUUUGCGUUGAGAAAGAAAAUCUCGUCUUUUGAAAACCUUACAAAAAUGUCACCCGGCCCAAGGUCAAAUUGCUGCCACCUUCCUCUAAAGAAGCAUGCGGAAGAGAGACCACGGUGACCCUGGUGUGUGUGGUCACAGGAUUCUACCCUGACCACAUCGAAGUGUAUUGGCAGCACAACGGAGCCAACCUAACUGGAGGACACGGUACUGAUGACAGGGCACGAGUGGCGGAUGACAACAAGACCUACAGCAUCACCGGCAGACUUCGAGUCAGCACGAAAGCGCUGGUUCAAUACCAAGAACACAUUCACCUGCCUGACCGGCUUCUACGAUGGGAACGAAUACCUGACAGACACGGACAGCAUAACCGCAACAGUGCCCAGC
rnacentral:lncRNA from 1 species